rnacentral:rRNA from 1 species
AUUGAACGCUGGCGGCAGGCCUAACACAUGCAAGUCGAGCGGAUGAAGGGAGCUUGCUCCUGGAUUCAGCGGCGGACGGGUGAGUAAUGCCUAGGAAUCUGCCUGGUAGUUGGGGAUAACGUCCGGAAACGGGCGCUGAUACCGCAUACGUCCUGAGGGUGAAAGUGGGGGAUCUUCGGACCUCACGCUAUCAGAUGAGCCUAGGUCGGAUUAGCUAGUUGGUGGGGUAAAGGCCUACCAAGGCGACGAUCCGUAACUGGUCUGAGAGGAUGAUCAGUCACACUGGAACUGAGACACGGUCCAGACUCCUACGGGAGGCAGCAGUGGGGAAUCUUGGACAAUGGGCGAAAGCCUGAUCCAGCCAUGCCGCGUGUGUGAAGAAGGUCUUCGGAUUGUAAAGCACUUUAAGUUGGGAGGAAGGGCAGUAAGUUAAUACCUUGCUGUUUUGACGGUACCAACAGAAUAAGCACCGGCUAACUUCGUG